UUUCCUGGGGCUCUUGCAGGAGAACCUGGAAUGCAGGGAGGACGUGGCCGCUUGUCCCAACUACACCAUCUGAGUUGGACCCAAAAGGUGAUCUCUGCUUCCCAUCCAGAGUGUUUUUCACAUGUUCCUGCCACUUCCCGGAGGACUGGGAGCUUGUUGAAAGCAAGACAUCCCAGAGGAAAAGGUUCUUUCUUAUGAUGGGUCACAAGGAAGCAGAGCCCAGCACCUUGUCGUGAGCAGCCUGGCCUGGGAACCUCUCUGAUCACUGCCUGUGUGACAUUCCAGCUCUGUUUCAGAGAGCAAAGGAAAUGCAGGAUGGAGAACAGAAUACUCUUGUGACUUGGCAGUGAAUAUUUUCAAGCAGAAGAAUCUAGAGGUAAUUAAGAAAAGUGAAGAUCUGAUGCAGUCCUUUUACUACCAAGCAGCUUUUAAUCAGAAACGUUCUAUAGAUAUUAGCACCUAUAUUUUGCACCAUAACACUACAACAUCUUGUUCCUAGUAGUGUGGCUAUAGCAAGAAAAUAAGGCUGUUGUGAAAUCUUAAUUGGAAAAAGAAUUGAAAAUAACUGUACUUGAAUACAUAACCUUGGUGGCAAGUGCUUAGUUGCCAUGGAGAUUGGCAAAGACUUGCAAUAUAGAUAUCUAAUCUUCAGAAAAAUUCAAAAGGGUACUGGUAUACAGAAAUACCUUCCCUGUAAUUUGGAGCAGUUUCAUAGACUGUCCAUCAAAAAUUGGCAUUUCAAAAAAUCAGGAGUGUGACUGAUAUGAGACAUAGUGAUUUAAUGCAAUUUGUGAAAAACAAGGAAUUGUCACAUGCAGUAAUGAACAGAGAGCAAUUCUGACAUGGCAAAGGCAUA